AAGUCGUGGCCCAAAACUGGUCUGAGACUCUGAAGUCACUCACCUCCGGAGUAUAUAAGAGAAUGUUAACAAUUUACAGGAAGAAACAGAUUGAGGAUUUAUUGAGCAAACUAUUGGAGUGCUGUACAUUCCUUUCCCACCUCACAACAAGCAAGGGUCUCGGAGGGAAGCGAUCAGAGAGCAAAGAUUGCUGGCUGGAGUGGAGACUCAGGCAUGAAAUGAUAAGGAAACCCGCCAGACUGAUGGCAUAAACCCUAGAGAGGAAGAUUUAAACCACAAAGAAGGAAAAGGAAGAAUCAACAUGUCUGAGCAAACACUGGGCAUGGGGGCAGAAGGGAAGAGUAUAAAAGCAGCUCCAAGGAUUCAGGUUGGAUCCCUAAGAGUAUGCAGUGAGGGCAGAGGGUUUUGAUGAGAACUCGAAAUUUUUUCAGAGCAGCAACAAAGAUGAAGAGAGUGGGAAAGGGGAGAAAGCAAAAGAGUCCUGACUCCCCUUCGGAAGAGUUUCUGCGGGAGCCCCACGGAGUGAUGAUCGGGGAAAGCUGGGCACAGUAGCAACAGUGAGGGAGAAGCACACGGACUUGGGGACACCCUGGUUGCCAGUAAAAGGAACAAGGUGAAACUGA
rnacentral:lncRNA from 1 species